GGCAUAUUAGAAUAUUCUUGACAAUGGAUUAUACAACAUAGUCAGAGCUUUCCUCUUUCUAAGAAUACCAUUACCACAGCAAAACACAGUGUGCUUUGCACACUCUGGAAUAGAAUGCACUGGGCUUCAGCACUUGGUGUUGUAAAGUACUUCCUUGCACUAGCCUUCAGUGAUUACUUACAGAUAUUUACUUUAGCACAUGGCAUAUAGAACAUUAAAAGGGUUUUGAAAAUCUCUCAGUUUUUCAACUUCUGAAGGAUUAUUAACUUCAAAGUCUGAAGAAAUGUCGGCCUUCUAUGUUUGGAAAUGCCAGCAGCCUUUGCAUAUCCCCACCGCAGUACCAAGCAACCCCCAGCAGAGAGGAACGAUUACUGCUUCGGUGGCGUGAGGAUGGCUUUUGAUCUCCUAACAUAUUGGAAAUUACUUAAAGAUCCAUAGUUUAUGCUCUCUGGGUGUGGAAUAUCUGGAUUCAAGUCCCUGCUCCAAAUCAAGCAGACUACAACGUGAAAACAGACCUUCUUGACAAGUGCCCUGAUAAUUUGAUUAUUUGGUAUAAUGAGUGCAAGUAAAGGACAAAACAAGGAGCAAAAAAAUCAUACUCUAGCUGUAAGAUUCAUAGAUUCUAAGGCUGGAAUGGACCUUGGAAGAUCAUCAGGCCCAGCCCCCUGCAUCAAGUAGGAAAGACAACUGGGGUCAAGUGACCCCAACAAGGUGACUGUCCAGUCUCCUCUUGAAGAAUUCCAAUCAUGUAUAAUGGAAACAUUUCUGGUGAAUUUUCUUUAAUUAACAAGUUUUGGAGUAAAGUUACAUAACCAUUAAAAAUGCACUGAAUGGUUAAGGAAUUAAGGGUUUGGUAUUAAAACACAGGUACUAACAUAAAUUAUGCCUAUACAUUUGAGAGAGUCACAAAAUCCCCCAAAUGCUCUUAUUUUAAAUCUCAUAAGGUGACUUUCUGAGUAUCUUUAAAAAAUGUGAAAUUGUUUCCCACAGUGCCUUAAGAAAGCCACAAUACCUUUUCAGUUACAAAAGGCUUUGCACAGAUUUCGUGAGAAGAUUGAAUAAAGAAGGAUAUUUCCAUUUUUUAUGAGAUUUUUAGAGCCUGGAUUUGAAGCCAGUAGCAUGCAGACUCUCACAGGCUUGUGAAAUAUUUGAAACUUUGAAGUGGAAGAAAGGUAACAGAGCUUCUCAAAAGCAAAUAAACUCUGGUUUGCCUCUGCAAAACCCAUCUUUGUCAGUUAUGCAAAGGAUGGAAAAUAGACAGGUAGCUCCAGAGCUUUUAUUAUUUCUCAGAAAGUUAAAGAAGUGCAGAAGCAGUGAUACUCCCUGUCAAAAGUCUACAUUUGGCAACCAAUGUAUGGCCUCAAAAGAUGUAACACUCUGAGUUUAAAAAGGGAAGGCUCAGUUCUGCAGCUCAUACUUUCAAAUAAAACUUCAGGACAUCAGAAGGAGGACUCUUGUAUUAUUCAAGGGAGAAGCUGCAGAAUCAGGUCUUAAAAGAUAAUAUGUCCGAGUCCAAAGAGGUAAAUGAAAUGGGUUGAUUGUCUUACUCCAAAAGACAGGGAGCUAGCAUAUGUUUGCUUAAUGGCACAGUGGGAUUCAAUCUUUAAUCCCAACAGUCAUGCCUCCUACUAUGCAUCUGGCAUAGCAGAAGACACAAUUGUUGGAAUUGGGGAUUAAAUCCCAAUUGUGCCACUGCCAGUAGGGAGCCCAGGGCAUAGGACCGCAGCCCGGUCUCUCAGUGGUGCUCCACUGGGUGCUCAGGCUCUCCGCAGCCCGGUCUUGUAACUGCGCCUCCCUGGACAUUCAGGUUCCACACGACCUUUUCUUGUUUUGCCUUACCAGGCGUUCAGGGUCAGCCCACUUCUGCUGCUGUGCUACUUUUAGCGCUCGGUGUCAGCACACUCCCGAUCCUACCCUUUCGGAUUUAUGGCAGUCAUUGCCCCCUUCUCUGGGACCUCUCACAUUGCUGCCCCCUUCUCUGUGGUGUCAUAUUGAAUGAAAUAGUUUGAAUGUUUGUAAAGGUUGCUCAUUAGCCAGUUUCAGGAAGAAGAUAAGAUUUAUCUCCUUAUCUAAGUCAUUGUUUUGGGACUACGUGCAAAAGGUCCAGACUUUGUUUAAAGUCUUAAUUUGAAUUUUAUCUUUAGAAAUCUUUUACAAAGAGAGCAAAUAUCCUGAGUUCCGAGAGAUCAAACCCUAAGGCCUUUUAACCAGAUUGGUAAGAAAAGGGCAUUUGCAGUGAUAUGGAAGUUUCCCAAAGGUAAUUUAAAAUGCUCAACAAAGGCAAAAGAAUCUGUUGAGUAAGAUCCAAGCCCAAAUUUGGGAGUAGUGACAGGCUUGAGUAGGAGGAGCCCAUUGACAGCAGCUCGCUCAAUAAAAACUGUAACUUACUGUCCCAAUUUGGAGGUGAGUAUACUUGUAGAACAACGAAGGAAGAAUCGCAAGCGUAGCCCGGGUCAGACUGAUCACCUGAACCACCCUCUCUGUGAACACGAAUCUUAGUUCACGCUGAAGCCACAGAGCACCUGAAAGGGACUGAAGGAAGGGGACUUAGUCCUAUCACUGCUUAGGCCAGCCUAUUGAACCGUAUUGCUGAGGCGAGCCCAUUGAACCGUACUACUGAGGCCAACCCAUUAAAUCGUACUACUGAGGAAUGAAACCAUAUUUUGGUAUUUGGCUUCUCGGAAUUCUAGGAUUGUAAAUAUAAUAUGAAAAAUAAUAGUAUUAAUUCAAAUUAAGUUUUAGUUGUAGUUGUAGUUGUUUUUGUAACACUAAUUCUUAUAGUAUUGUUUGGGAAGGAAGUGCAUUCGGAGCAUUGUUUCUGAUAUAUGUAGUUAUUGUGUUUUUAAUGUUCGUAGUGUUUCUUAAAGCUAAGCAGUG